rnacentral:rRNA from 1 species
GACGAACGCUGGCGGCGUGCCUAAUACAUGCAAGUCGAGCGGAAGUUGAAGAGCCUGCUCUUCAACUUUAGCGGCGGACGGGUGAGUAACACGUGGGCAACCUGCCCUGCAGAUCGGGAUAACUCCGGGAAACCGGUGCUAAUACCGAAUAGUUUUGGGUCCCUCCUGGGACCUAACGGAAAGACGGUUUCGGCUGUCACUGCAGGAUGGGCCCGCGGCGCAUUAGCUAGUUGGUGGGGUAACGGCCCACCGAGGCGACGAUGCGUAGCCGACCUGAGAGGGUGAUCGGCCACACUGGGACUGAGACACGGCCCAGACUCCUACGGGAGGCAGCAGUAGGGAAUCUUCCGCAAUGGACGCAAGUCUGACGGAGCAACGCCGCGUGAGUGAUGAAGGUUUUCGGAUCGUAAAACUCUGUUGCGAGGGAAGAAACCGUGCCAAUUAACUACUGGCACCUUGACGGUACCUCGCCAGAAAGCCACGGCUAACUACGUGCCAGCAGCCGCCGUAA